rnacentral:rRNA from 1 species
GAUGAACGCUGGCGGCGUGCCUAAUACAUGCAAGUCGAGCGCAGUGGGGACGGGUGCGUAACACUUGGAUAACCGCCUAUACGACCGGGAUAACUUCGGGAAACGCGAGCUAAACCUGAUACUCAUAGCUGGAUCCGUGCUGCAUUCGCCAGUUGGUAAGGUAACGGCUUACUAAGGCAACGAGGCAUAGCCGACCUGAGAGGGUGAUCGGCCACACUGGGAUUGAGACACGGUCCAGACUGCUACGGGAGGCAGCAGGAGGGAAUCGUCCGCAAUGGGCGAAAGUCUGACGGAGCAACGCGGCGUGAGUGAUGAAGUUGUUCGGAUCGGAAAACUCGGUUAUGAGGGUGGCGGUACCUAAUCAGAAAGCCGCGGCUAACUACGUGCCAGCAGCCGCGGUAAUUC